AUUUUAGUCCGAUUUGACGCAUACUAGGACUAUCUAUUGCAUAUUGUAUUAUUAUUACAUUAGUAGACUUCAUUUAAUUCAAUCAUUGGAUAUAUGAUGAUCUUUUGAUGCAAUUUUUUAUGAGAUGGCGGGCCGGCAGCCGUGAACUCAUAUCGCUCAAGGUCGCUGGCAUUUAGUGUCGCCUUAAGUAAUCUAUCACAAAUAUCUGGCGACGCUAUGAAGCGGUUGAGUAUUUCCUGUUCGUGGCUUGUCACAUCUACUAUUCGCAGAAGACGAAACGGACAUUAAUUACAUUUAAAAGGAUGUCAAUGGGAAACUUGUUAGAGUUAAAGUUAAAAAUAUUCUAGAAUUUUUAAAUAAGCUAAAAUGGUAAUCAAUUCUAGCCUUUUACUUGAAUGCCACUCAGCAGUAAAUAUGAUCAGACAGAUCAGAGAUGACAACAGCCUAACAAUUCAGUGGAUAAAGGAUCACAGUGUGUGGAGUCAGAUACAACAAGGUAGCCAGAUCAAUUGGCUAGACAGGGUUCUGAGACACAACCGGUCGGACCUCUCUUGGCUCUACCACAUAGCUGGUUCAGGAACCACAUAACUCAAUAGAUAAAAGCACUACAUCAACAAUACUAGGAUAGCCUUGAGGGAUGCAGGCAAGCCAAAGCAGCUUUAACAGGCAUCUUUUUAAUAAAGGUAUCACAGACAGCUCCCUGUUCAGAGGCUGCCUGGGGACAGAAGAAACAGCCGCUCACGUUGUGCUGAAGUGCGGAGAGGUGGCAAUCUACAGGUCGAAGCACCGAGGCUCACCAGGCGCCCUUCGGGAAGUCUUUGGCAACGUUAAGAUUUUGGGUGACUUCUUGGAGGAACUUGGCUGGUUGGAGUAGUCUCUACCACUCGCACGCAAAAUAGGAGCAUAUGACGUGGAGUUGCGGAUACUACCCUUGUGAAGAAGAAGAAGCUAAAACGACUUUUGUAAUAAGCUUUAGUUCAAUUAAACGGGUAUCACGUAAUAGCGUUAUUAAAAAAUAACGUUUUCACAGGAUGAUAUUUUUGAACCUACGGCUUCGCAAGGGUUACUGAAUUUUAUUUCAUACUUCCCAAUGCUGGAUACUCGUCAGUAAAUAUAUGUAGAGAUAAUACAGAUAUACUCUAUAUAAACAUUUUGCUGUUUA